GAUGAACGCUGGCGGCGUGCCUAAUACAUGCAAGUCGAGCGAAUGGAUUAAGAGCUUGCUCUUAUGAAGUUAGCGGCGGACGGGUGAGUAACACGUGCGUAACCUGCCCAUAAGACUGGGAUAACUCCGGGAAACCGGGGCUAAUACCGGAUAACAUUUUGAACCGCAUGGUUCGAAAUUGAAAGGCGGCUUCGGCUGUCACUUAUGGAUGGACCCGCGUCGCAUUAGCUAGUUGGUGAGGUAACGGCUCACCAAGGCAACGAUGCGUAGCCGACCUGAGAGGGUGAUCGGCCACACUGGGACUGAGACACGGCCCUGACUCCUACGGGAGGCAGCAGUAGGGAAUCUUCCGCAAUGGACGAAAGUCUGACGGAGCAACGCCGCGUGAGUGAUGAAGGCUUUCGGGUCGUAAAACUCUGUUGUUAGGGAAGAACAAGUGCUAGUUGAAUAAGCUGGCACCUUGACGGUACCUAACCAGAAAGCCACGGCUAACUACGUGCCAGCCGCCGCGGUAA
rnacentral:rRNA from 1 species